rnacentral:lncRNA from 1 species
GGUCAGGAGCGCAUUCAAAGAAGCACCGCAGCAGCCGCGGGCUAGUUCGGCACUGCCCCAGAGAACACCCCGCACCUCCUCGGCACGGCACGCUGCGUCCGCGGCAGAGCCGGAGCCGGUUCCUGCGCCCUGCCGCCGAGCUGUCACGGCGAUCGAACAAAAGCACAGGGCUGCGGGCCUCGGGAGGGCUACCGCCACGCACGGAACCCCCCCCCCGCAGCCCGCGCCUCGGGGCGAGGCCUCCCCGCGCCACCCGUGGCUGCAGGCCCCGGGCGAAGGCCAGGCCUCGGGCUGCUCCCCGCCUGCCUCCCCUCCUCACCAGCCGGUCUCGUCCUCCUCGCAGCCGGCCAGGCGCUCCAGCUCGUCGGGCCGGAGAGGCGCCGCGUCGUCCAGGAGGCCGUCGCUCUCACCGCCGCCGGGUUCCUCGGGGGGCUGCCGCCGUGCCGCGGCCCUGGGGCUGAGGCAGCGGCCGUCGGACGGAGAGGGAGAGGCGGCGGCGGCGGGGGGCGAAGGGGAGGCCCCGCCGCUGAGGAGGCGCUUGGGGCUGGCGGGGGCGGCGGGCAGGGCGCCGUGGCGGCUGCGAAGCUGCUCGUUCUGCUUCUCCAGCUUCUUCACCAGUUCCUGCAGCUUCCGCACCUCCGCGUCCGCGUUCACGCUCGAGCCGACGUCCUCCAUGGCGCCUGCCGGCUGCGAGGCUGUCUGAGCGGGGAAGGCCGGCCGCGCCGCCCCGUCUACAUGGCCGGGCGGCCCGCGGCACUGGAGGGCGGCGGCGGGGCGGGGCGGGUCGGGCGCUGCCGCCUUCUCAGCGGCGCCGGCGGGCGGCGUAGGGCCCGCAUCCGGCCGCCAUCUUGCCGCCUCCUCUAGCCCGCCCGAGCCACAACGUCACGCGCGUAACCUGGAAGUGUCCCGCGUAUGAGUCGGGCGGGUGUUGGCGAGCUGUGCGGCGUGCUGCCUUACCGCCCUCUGGUGCCCUGUGGGGGCUCGGGCGUGCAGGCGGGUGGCGUCUGCCGCGCUAAGGGAGGGAAGAAGGGAGCCGGGAGAGCUGUUGCUGGGGUGGUUAUCAAACUGCGGAGGAGCUUUGAUCUGGGAGCAGGGACCUUUACUGAUCGAUGCCGUAUUAAUAGCAGCCCUUGAAGAUUGCUCUGUACAUUGGCUUGUAAAUCCAGCUCCUUCUCUGCACCGUUUGGUACCAAGUGCCUUAAUGAAAUCCAGGAAAGAAGUUGUUUAAACCUGCUUUUAUCCUCCAAAUCUGGAAGAAGAACAACUCAAGGGUACUGCAUGGGUUUCUAAUGAGGCUAGUGUUCAUGGCAUGCCAUGUGGCUAGGAAAUGUGUGACUAAAUGUGUAGUUUAACCCUAAAUUUAUACAACUAAUUCAGAAUGAUGACUCUUCAAAGAUUAUCAUCAGAGUUGAGCAUUGUAAUAAAAGUUCUGUAUCACUGCAGACACCCCAAAUGAUGUCUGCUCACCUCAGGUUCAUCACUGCAGUAUUGGAGUUCCUUCCACAGGUUUAGAGUCUUUUCUCCUUGAAAUUUUAGCGUAUCUGCAUAUAAUACUCAUUAACAAAUGUAAAUUCAGCUUCAUUGUGGAGUUAGCUACCUGUAUUUCAUGCUUAUCCAUCACUUGGAAAUAAUAGCUCUUUAGCAACCCACUGAGCUCAGCGUGCUUAAGGUGCUGCGGUGGGAGCGAGCUGACUCAGAACACUGGGAAAGGACUUGCUGUUGUCAAGAAGAUCCAUGACUUACAUUCAUUUACCGAUGACAGUAAUUUCAGGCACGUGGGUAUCGUUGAGUGAAGACUUACGUGUCUCCACCCGUAUGAAGCAAUCCUCUGUUAGACCAUGCCAAAAAGUUUCUGAGUGUACUGAGAACUCUCCUGACACCCCUCUAUUAGUGAACCAGCUCCGCAAGGAAAAAUAGUUCACUGCACUCAAGGGACUCUGAAAGCAGUCUCACCUGUGCACUUUUUUAGCAAGAAAAAGAACCGUGUCUUCAGAAUCCAUGGUUAGUGACAAGUGAACGAUUUCCAAACGUGACAGGCUUGAAAUGCUGCAUUUCCACACCUGAUGAAGAAGCUGCUAUGUUUUGAAUAUAUUAUUUACAUUUUCAUGACAAUUUGUGACCGAGAGGAGAGAGAGAAUAUAGAUAGAGCCAUGCAAAAACAAAAUUUGCAGUUAAAUCAUGUUCGUGCUUCACUGAUCCAUUUCUGCCUUAUAUUUAACUAGGCUGGACUCCUGGCUGGAGACAGCGUGCUAACACUGAUAAAAAUAAUUAAGGUUUAUGGCCUAGAAAGGCGGGUAGAUGUGACGUGAUCGGUUCUAAAUGCUGCUGGGAACGUUGCACACAGGAAAAUUUCCAUUAAACCUGGAAUACCGCCCCCAUGCUUGAGCUUGGAGGAACAGUGACGACUCUUUAUUUGCCAAAGGGUGUAUGGCUUCGUUAUUAAAACCUGCGCUGGAGUUCAGUACCUCUUCUCCCUCCUGUCGGGCCGUCGUUUCGCCUCUCGGCGCAGUUCGGAAGGCCGCCGCCGCCACCUAGUGACAGCUCUGCGCACUGUGACAGCCCUGCACGCAGUGACAGCCCUGCACACAGUGACGGCCUUGUACGUACUGGCACCGAGACCUGCGGCGAUACACUGCUCUGGUCCCCACGUGCGGUGUGUGAGCACCUGGAGAGGACUUCUCCUUCCUCUGUGUGUUUGGAGGAUGCGCUCAUGGAAAUCUUCCACUCUAACACACGGUGGUAAAACCGUUUCUAAAGCCUAGGAUUGAGCAAAGCGUUUCUGAGACAGGACAAGAGGUAAUGACCAUACACUGCACCAGGGGAGGUUCAGGUUGGAUAUCAGGAAACAUUUCUUCUCAGAAAGAGUGAUGAGACAUUGGAACGGGCUGCCCAGGGAGGUGGUGGAGUCACUAUUCCUGGAGGUGUUCAAAGAACAUAUAGGAGUGGCACUGAGAGACAUAGUUUAAUGGGCAUGGGUGAGUGGCUGGACUAGAUCUGUUUACUGGUCUUUUCCAAAUGUAAUGUGCAAAGAGAGAGCCUAAAAGAAAUUGAAACAACAUUUAAAAAGAAAAAAAAAAUCUUUACAGGCAGAAGCAUGUGGGAGAGGUGGACAUAUAGAAGGUCCAGCUUAGAGGCUGUAAAGGAAAUUUAAUCAAAUAAUAAAAGCUGUCUUGGCCAUAUAAAGAAAAAUUAAGAGAAAUGGAUGUCUUACAUAUUGUAGGUGUUGGCAUUAAAAUGAAUCUAGGCACUGCCCCAAACUAUUUGUCUCAGCUUUGGUAAUGAUACUGGCAUUAUACACAGAAGCAAAAUCAAAACAGUGAAUGUGAGUGGGUGUGGAAACAGAUGUUAUUACAGGCAAGGUAAAAGCAAAGUGCAAAGAGCUCAGCUCUUGAGGAGGCUCAGAAACAGAGAUAAUAAAGCUCAUGAUAAGAGUUUUAAUGCAUUUGCUGAAACAGUUGCAAUGCCAUGUGAUUAAACAUUAGACAUUGAAGUAAGUUUCUUUUUCCCAAGGAAAAAAGGGAUCCAUAAAAAUAUGUUAUUUUGCUGCAUGCAAGGAUUAAAUAUUGCAUGAAAGAAACAGAGAUAUGAAAGGAUGCAAAAUGCGAGAAACAGUUACUAAAGACAGAUUUUGCCAAAUUGGGAUUUUCUUUGAUGAAAUAUGAGAUUUUUUUUUUAAAGAAGGAGUGGUGUGUAGUGACAGGACAAAGAGCAAUGGCCUAAAACUUAAACACAGGAAGUUCCAUACUAACAUGUGGCGGAACUUCUUUAUGGCAAGGGUGAUGGAGCAUUGGAACAGGUUGCCCAGAGAGGUUGUGAGGUCUCUUUCUAUGGAGAUAUUCAAGACCCAUCUGGAUACCUACAUGUGCAAACUAUUGUAGGGUACCUGCUUUAGCAGAGGGAUUGAACUCAAUGAUCUCUUGAGGUCCCUUCCCAUCCCUCUGAUUCUGUGAUUCUAUGAACUGCAGCAAAGCAAAUCCAUAUGGAUCUCAGGAAAGUGUUCGACAUGGUGUGUCAGCGUGGUGAUACUGGAAAAACAGAGGGAAGAAACCAGCUAAAGAGUUGUACUUACAGGAGAAGGCUCAGGCUAUAGAAAGAAGAGUUUUGUGGCUGUGGAGUGCAUAGGGAUUGACUGCAUUUAUCUUUAUGGUAAGUAUUUUGUCCAAUAAAGUAACAAAUAAAUAAAAAUAGAAGUGAUUAAUGAAAUAUGCUGGUGACACAAAGACGAUGACUUUAAAGCAUAGGAGGACUGAACUGCCAUAAAGUGGAGGUGCAAGGAACAGAAGUCUAAAAUAACAAAGGCAAGGAACUUAGUGACCAGCAAGGUUUUAUUCAGGAAGUACAGGUGCAUCAGCUGCUGACAAAAGGUGAAGAGCUGGCUGUUUUAGUCAAUUGUCCAUUGCAGGAUAUCUAAAGACCACUACUUAUGAAAAGCGAAAACACACCUAUGUAUCUAUAAGACAAGAUCAAUGAUCUGAGAAGGAUUUUAGUACUGAGUUGCCUUUCCAGCUUCGCCCAAGUAUUUGCAGUACAAACCACACAUGAACAAGCAAUACAUUGACACAUAUGCUUAAAUUCAAGCAGAAGAUUUGUCUCAUCAAGUCUUCAGGUUUGGCAGACAGCUUGAACCAAGAGUAGAGUACAUAAUGGAACCUCUCAUUUAAAUGCAAGCAAAGCAACCCAUGCAAUGUAAAUAGAAAGAAAGAUUUUGCUGCAUUCUGUAAACCAAAUUUAACACACUGUAAUGUAAACAUAUCUAUCAGAGCAUAAAAUGAGCAAUGUCAAUAUAAUAACCAACAAGUGCCAUCAAUUUACACCCUUUUUAAGUCAGCUGGAAUGAAAACCUUGCAGUGUCGGGUCCCACCAUGUCCUUUUGUAACUCAGGUAAGCUGCAGCCGUGGCAUGCCAGGGUCACUGUUGGCCAAGCAACAGGGCUGUUUUUUGUUGAAGCAUGUGGUCAUAAUGAGUGUGUCUGUACAUAUAGCAUGUUUCAAAUGUCCACUGACACCUUUUUAUAUAUUUUUUUGCGUAUUAUAUAUUGAAAUUCAACCAAAAUGUUAAAAUGAGGUGUCACAGAAUGAUAAGUAGAAUAGCAAUAAAGCUCUUCUAUCUUGUUGACAGGAAAAAUAUCAAAUUUUAAUCCCUUCAAAUGAUCUUAUUUCUCUGCCAAAUUUGAAAUCAAGAAUAAAUAUCUGAACAUGGAGUUAUCAAGGAAAGUCCUCUCUCGUGACUGUACCAAGCUCAAAACAACACAUCCCUUUCAUCAGAAGUGACCUUCUGUAUGAAUCCUCCUCUGCUUACAGAGCAAAUCCUCCAUAAAUCCCCAGCCUCUUGCAGCACUGUACUUUGUACAUGCACAGUGUAACUACUUUUAUCAUCUGCAGCUUGAAACAAUCUUCGGAGUAUGCCACUGAGCUGCAGCCUUUUCAAUGCCUCUGUUGCUUGGUGGGGAGCCUGGGUCAUAUCAUAGAAUCAUAGGAUGGUCUGGGUUGAAAAAGACCUCAAAGAUCAUCAAGUUUCAACCCCCCUGCUAUGUGCAGGGUCACCAACCACUACACCAGGCCACCCAGAGGCACAUCCAGCCUGGCCUUGAAUGCCUCCAGGGAUGAGGCAUCCACAACCUCCUUGGGCAACCUGUUCUAGUGUGUCACCACCCUCAUUCUCAUCAUGAGGGAUUUGUGAAGGCUGCAAAAUUAAAGUAAUAGGCGGGACAUGUUCAGUGUAAAUGUGGGCUGUGAGUGCAGUUGGUGGUACUUCAGAGCUAUGUGUGAACCUCAGUUAGGAAGGAAAAGCUGUCUUGAGCAGAGGCAGCAGGGGUAAUACUGCCUUCCUUCCAUCACCACCAAGCCCCUGCAUUAGGACAGAGAAAGGUGCUGGGGUCUGAUGCCAUAAGACACAUUUUGCCCUUUUGUUAUUAGCAGAUCUGAGCCUGUUCCAGUGCUGUGUGAUUCUUUCAAUACAGAAAGCACUACAUAAGAGUUGAGCUAUAUUCAGACCUCAAAAAAUGUGCCAAAAUGACUGAAGGCAACGUUUUGUGGAAAGUUCAGAGAAGAGAGAAAAUCAAAGGACCCUUAUUUUUAACCAAGAGUCCAGCAGUUUGUGUCGGCUUCCCACCUCAGACAAUGCAGCAGCCUGGUGAGAGCGAGGUAUUUUCUAUGGGCUCAGUUCCUACUAUUGUUUACAAGCCAAAUGUGAGGUUAGAUAGUAAUGGGUCAGCCCUUCGUAGUCAUGGCACAGGCAUCUCUUAGCAGUGACAUGCCUGUGUGUUAGGACAAAGAAACACAUGAGGGCAAGAGACCUACAGUCUUCUUCCUUUCACAUAAGCAUUUUGGCAAGAAAUGUUUGAGAAAAAUCAUAGAUUUUGCUGCUGAUUCUUUUUAAAUUAUUCUUUAACAACAACAACAACAACAAAAAUUACUAUUUUAAAGUAAUGCUUUUAACACUCAUCACAUUUGAUUUUCCUGAGUUAAGUGUCUAAGUAGAAGUAACUAAAUAGUUCUCAGACAACUCUGGAUUUAUGGCAGAAUCCAAUGAAGUUCAGGGGGUGCUAACUUGGGGGAAAAUAGGAUCAGUGUCAGUUGUUCAGAUUAUCCUAUUUCUGCAGUAUGAAGCAAUGACCCAAGCAAUACACAAUAGAUGUGUAACAAAUGAUGUGUGUGUGUGCAUAUGUACGCAUGUGUAUGCAUGUGCAUCUUUGUCUGUACGUGCCCAUACAUUCAUGCACACGUCUUUUCAGCAGGGUAGCAGCAGACUGCACCAGAUCUAAAGUGAUGUUAGAAAGCUGGACAUCAAAUGCAGAACAAGGUCAGAUUGAGAUGUGAAUUGAAGAAGGCUACAAAACAGUGUGAAUUACAGACAGAGUGGAAAGCCAGUUAUGCCCUUUUUAAAUCACCUGAGGCUCCUUUGUCAUUCCCAUACCUCAAAUUUAAGAGCUUUUUGGAACAAAGAAGCAACAUCUGUAAAAUUGUUUCCAGCAACAGCACAGCUGCGAACACAGUGUUACAGAGGAUACAGCCUUUAUCCCCACUUAGGGUUGCUCAUAGCAGUAGAAUUCAGGCGGAUGAAUUGGACAAAAAGGUUUUGUUCCCUGUCCCUACUGUGUAGCCAUGUGUCACUGUUAAGUGUUACUUGAAAAGUGAUCAUCAGUUACUAAAACAUUUUAACACGGAGUUAGCAAUUGUUUACUAGCAGAGCAAAUGCCAUUUGCCAUUCUCUUUUAAAAAUAAGUAACGUUAAUUGCUCUCAUUGAAGACUAGAAAGUAGGUUUUUAGGAUGGCUGGAGGAUGCCACGAAGUUCACAGAAUCGUAAACCAAAGUAAGAAACUGUAACAGUGGGUUAAUUCUGAUCUGACAUUACUGAGGUGCCACACGCUGUCCUGGCAAAGGCAUAGUGAAAACUGCUGUCCUACAGCUGAUGGAACUCUUUGAAGUGGAUUUACACAGGUUUGGUACUGUAUCAGAAAUCACAAGGGCACUAAGCAUCCAUAAACAAAGCUGUAGCCUGUACUGUGUGUAAGCUCUCUGGGAACACAUCUGAAUAACGUGGCCACCAGCAGAACAUGAGUUUCUCUGGGGAUUAGCGUUUUGGAUGCCAGCCUUCUAAUCACAGGGAUUCAGUUACUCCUUCCAAUCAGAUCAAUGUAACAUGGCUGUGUAACGCAAUGAUAGCACCUCUUCUAAAUGGAGAAAUGUUGAGUCCUGAGGAAGACAAGCUAUGUUCAUUUCAGCAUUUUUGCUUUGUGUCCUAUCCCUAUGUGGAGUCUCACGUGGAACUUUACACACCCUAAAAUUACACGCUGACCACCUUCUUUUCAGUAUAUUCUAGCUAAACAGACCACAUCCUGAUACACAAUCUCCUUUCAGUGUUUUUGCUACGAAUGUGGUGCAAGUCCACUGAAGUCAGCCUUGAAAUCCCAGUUUUGUCAAGCUCAGAAUCUGCUCGGUGGAGACCCAGUGCUGUUGGUUGAACUCGUGCUCUGCCACCUGCAGCUGAAGCCUAAACGUACUUUGAAUCCUAGCAGGGAGGUGUCCGAAGGCAGCUUCCCCAGCUUCCUUCGCAGCCACAGAUGUGCCUUUAACCCACGCAGCUCUGUCGCUCAGGCUGUCCCGCAGUAUCACUUACCGGCGUCACCGCAGAGGGGGAGCAGCACACCGCAGGCUGGCCCAGGACACAUGCAGAGACGUGCUGCUGCGGGGUGGUGGUUCGCGUUUUAGGAUCCUUCGGGCUUCUUCACAGCAGUGUUAGAGAGAGGAUCCCACUCAAUGCAGGGUGGCCCUGGGGUUUGCCUGCUACGGUCACUGACAAGCAGUUCCUCGAGCAACAAGGGCCCAGCAAUCAUGAACUGAAAACCACCAGAGUGAGGCCACCAACACCCCCAUCCACAUCUUUGCCUUUUUAGGUAGUUGUUCUCUGCUUCAGUACCAGUAAGAAACUUAAACUGCUCGCCAGUGCUGCUGUGCUGAGCUGACAAGUGGGAUGAAUGGUGCUAAUAGAAGGUACUCUUUACACUCUCUAUUUUAUAUACAUACACUUGCUGUUAUUUGUUAUGUCAUGUCACCCCUCAAAUAAGGCUACACUACUCUCUGGGGUCUGUUUUUACUGUUUGGCUGCUUGGGCUAUGGCAAGUGGCACAGCAAUGUUACAGUACUUC